UACGUAGGGUGCGAGCGUUGUCCGGAAUUACUGGGCGUAAAGAGCUCGUAGGUGGUUUGUCGCGUUGUCCGUGAAAACUCACAACUCAAUUGUGGGCGUGCGGGCGAUACGGGCAGACUGGAGUACUGCAGGGGAGACUGGAAUUCCUGGUGUAGCGGUGGAAUGCGCAGAUAUCAGGAGGAACACCGGUGGCGAAGGCGGGUCUCUGGGCCGUAAGCUGACGCUGGAG
rnacentral:rRNA from 1 species